rnacentral:rRNA from 1 species
AUACGGAGGAUGCGAGCGUUAUCCGGAUUUAUUGGGUUUAAAGGGUGCGUAGGCGGACGUUCAAGUCGGCGGUCAAAUGGGCGGGCUCAACCCGUUCUCGCCGUCGAAACUGGGCGACUGGCGUGGGAGAGAGGCAUGCGGAAUGCGCGGGGUAGCGGGGAAAUGUAUAGAAAUCGCGCAGAACUCCGAUCGCGAAGGCAGCGUGCCGGCUCCUUACUGACGCUGAAGCACGAAAGCGUGGGGAUCGAACAGGAUUAGAUACCCUGGUAGUCCACGCAGUAAACGAUGAGCACUAGGUGUGCGGCCGAUAAGGGCUGCGUGCCACAGCGAAAGCGUUAAGUGCUCCACCUGGGAGUACGCCGGCAACGGUGAAACUCAAAGGAAUUGACGGGG